AAAGAAGAAAGUGGGGUCGGGGGUAUGUAGCAUCAAAUAGCACACAGAUUGUUUGCCAGCUUUCCAGCUUCCAGUACGCAGAAAAUGGAUUCCAUUCGAGCUCCGUGAAGCCUCCGACAUGCAACUCUCUCUCUCUCUCUCUCUCUCUCUCUCGUUCCGCACGAAACCCUAGUUUUUUCUUAGAGACGACUGAUCAGGAUGAUGGGUUUGAUUAGGGUAUUGCCAAGGAAGGCAUGCUAGGGUUGCGAAGCGAUUGGGUCUUAAAAUAUACCAGGCAUUGGGCUUGAUCUGCUGGAGUCGCGCCUAGGUGGUGCUCUCUCUCUCUCUCUCACUCUCUCUUCUUUAGCAACGGCGCUCGCCAGAGUUUCGCAUACCACAGGCUCCCCUCGCAGCACCUUACGCUCUCUGUUCUCAAAUUUUAUGGCUCUUCCUUGGGUGAAAUUGUGUCCCUGGGUUCUCUCCGUUGCAAAUAUGUUUAACUAUUUUUGUCUGUGGGUUUAUGUUAUUAUGUGCUUUUGAUUUUGGUGACAGACGUUAAUGUUGCGAGGACAGUGUCGGUACCGGAGCUUAAAGAGGCUGUGGAGGAUAUAUUCGGACGGGUUUCGAAGGAGGGGGCGAAUUAAGAUUUCAUGCUUCACUUUACCCAUCAUCAGUCAAUCAACUACAAUCACGCAAGGAGACGAACGAAAAAUCGAAGUGCUGCUUUUGAGCAGGAUGCGAUGUAAGAAUUUGUGUGGCUUUCAUGGUAAUAAAACAAAGUUUGUUUUCCAGUGGUUAUGUAUCCAUGCUCAGAAGCCUUGGAUGACUUAAGACUGACCUUGCCGAAUUGCUGGAUUUUUUUGGGGAAUCAACAAUGAUCCAGGAAAGUGAUCUUUAUUGCAUGGUUAUAAUUAUGUCAAUCUGUUCAGUUGGUGCCUGAGAAUUCUGCUGGGUUCUUGUUGAUCAACCUUGUGUGGCAUGGAUAAUGUGGCUCCCUUUCGUAUGUUAAGAAUGUCGAAGCCUUGCAAAUAAUGAAAACUGGACCCAUGGUCAGGCCAUUAUCAGGUUCCAGUCCCCAGAGACACCGGAGAGAGGGCAGAUAGAGGAAAAUGAUGCUGAUGAGGACAAACAAGUGGGUUAUUUUGAGGGUGGGAUUUGGGAUUUUGCAGAGCUUAAAGAAUCCAAUUUGCCAAAUUGUUUGGAAAGGGUUGCUUCUGGGCAGCUAAAUUGUAAUUGUGAGAGGUCAAGGUUAGGAGAAAACUGCGAGCGUUUAUAUGGGAGGGUAUCCAAGACUAGGGUAAACAAUUGAAGAUAAGACUUGCUCUGUUCUUGGGGAUAUUUUUCCCCCUUUAUUUUGAACUUAGAUGUUUGGACUGGAGGAUCCAUUGUCCUGAGCAACAUUCUUUCCUAGGACAGUUACCUUGUGGGGACUUUAUUAGGGGUCAGAUUUGCUUCGAUGUUAAUAUUUCUGAUAUUUACUCCCAAUGGUUAUGGUUGUCUCAAUUUGUUCAAUUGGAGCCUGGGAAGUUUGCUGGGUCUCCUUUUUAUUAAAAUUGUUGAAGCUUUGCAAAUAAUGAAAACUGGACCUAAGGCCAGUCGUUGAAUA